rnacentral:lncRNA from 1 species
UUCUGUUCUGGACUUCCUUUGUCUUCUCUUCUUAGUGCUUCUCCUUUCCUCCUCGCCGGUCUCCUCGGGCAAAUGCAACAAGGAUGACAAGAAGGCCCUGCUCGCCAUCAAGAAGGCUCUCGGCGACCCCUACGUCCUCAUCGCAUGGACCUCCCAGUAUGCCUGCUGCGACUGGGCCGGCGUCCGUUGCAACGAGACCACCAGCCGGGUCACCUCCCUCGACAUCGACGGCACCAACACCUCCUUCGCCAUCCCGUCCGCUGUCGCCCACCUCCCCUUCCUCACCUCCCUCACUUUCCACAAGAACCCCGGCCUCACCGGCCCCAUUCCCCCUGCCAUCGGCACCAUUACCGACCUCACCUUCCUGCGCCUCGACUGGAACAGCCUCUCCGGCCCCGUCCCGGACUUCCUCGCACGUCUCACCCGCCUUGAUUACCUCAACCUCGCCUUCAACCAGUUCUCCGGCGCCAUUCCCGCGUCCCUCGCGACGCUCCCCCUCAGCUACCUCGCCAUCGACCACAACCGGCUCACUGGUCCCAUCCCCGAGUCGCUGGCCCGGUCGCCCGCCGCCUACCUUUAUCUCAGCAACAACAACCUCACGGGCUCCAUUCCCCCGUCCUUCGCGUCCAACACCUUCGAGAGGAUCGACCUGUCUCGCAACCAACUUAGCGGCGACGCGGCGCACCUGUUCGGAAAGUCCAAGCCAUUGCAGGUUCUGGACCUGUCGAGGAACCACGCAAUCGAGUUCAACAUAACCCAGGUGGAGAUCCCGGAGGAAAUGACGGCGUUGGACUUAAACCACAACCGGGUCUACGGGAGGCUGCCGCCGGAGAUGGGGAAGGUGGAGUGGCAGCUGUUGAACGUGAGCUACAACCGGCUCUGCGGUCCGAUACCCAGCGGGGAGGGGAUCCAAAGGUUCGAUCGAUACGCCUUCUUCCACAACAAGUGCCUC